AGGGUUUGAUUAUGGCUCAGAACGUACGCUGGCGGCACGCCUAACACAUGCAAGUCGAACGAAGUAGCAAUACUUAGUGGCAGACGGGUGAGUAACAUGUAGGUAUCUGCCCUUUGGCCUGGAAUAACACGAGGAAACUUGUGCUAAUACCGGAUAAGUCUUUACGGAGAAAGCUUUAUGCACCAUUGGAUGAGCCUGCACUUGAUUAGUUUGUUGGUGGGGUAAUGGCCUACCAAGACUGUGAUCAAUAGCUGAUUUGAGAGGAUGAUCAGCCACAUUGGGACUGAGACACGGCCCAAACUCCUACGGGAGGCAGCAGUGGGGAAUCUUGCACAAUGGAGGAAACUCUGAUGCAGCGAUGCCGCGUGAGUGAAGAAGGCCUUUGGGUUGUAAAGCUCUUUCGUCGGGGAAGAAAAUGACUGUACCCGAAUAAGAAGGUCCGGCUAACUUCGUGCCAGCAGCCGCGGUAAUUC
rnacentral:rRNA from 1 species